AGACGGCUAUGAACGAAGCUAUCCGAUUAUGUGGUUCCCACACUUAAACGCGCUGCGCAAUUUGCACACGGCAAAGCUGGGGCCACAUAAUCGGAUGGCUUCGGUCAUAGCCGUCUGGCACGUUUGAAUUUAUCGAAAGAUAAUGUCAUUGAAGGAAAACGGCGAUAAUAUUGAUGUUUAUUUCGGCUGUUGCGUUGUUUAUAUUACCGUUGAAGUUUAAAAUUGACCAUCAUCGUGAAGAAUUAUAUCUUCUGUGUCGAUGGACCAAAGGAUUAUGUGAAAAUAUUGGAAAUGGAAUAAAAUACAUGGUGAUUAUGACGAUCAUACAGCACAAGAUGGCAAAGCGGAAAGAGGUGCCCGCUCAGACUCGGAGCUGGAGACCCUGCAGCGUUUUCUAAAGAACGCAACUCCUGCCCAUAUCAGCUCCGAGUAUGCCUACACCACCUACCCGGGUGGCAAGGUCACAACUUCCAACAUGUCAAAGAUGGUAGAUACGGACUGGGUGGCCUUUGCAAAGGCCAAGGGGCUGGACCUGCCCCAUCUGACCGCCUUUAUGAGCCAAAAGUUUGCCGUCUCCACCCACCGUGAGAGCGGGGCCAGCCGCGAGGAGCAGACAGCUCUGGUCUUGCAUAUGGCCCACCGGUGGAGACGGCUGACCGCUAUUACAGCAGGGCCAAUCUAAGGACGGAGAGAGGCAAGGCCCUGGACGUGAAUCAGGGUGCAUACAAGGUAAGAGUGACAUACAUUAGGUCUAUUUUCCGAAUCUUGGAUUCCGAUUCAAACCCAAAUAAAGUUUCCUUUUAAAAGGAAAGGCUUGCUCAGUUGUGCCAUCAUCCAUUCCCUUUAAAAAAAAAAAAUUGUUUCAAUUUUUUAUCAUUUUUUUUUUAAUUACGGUAUUUGUAUAUUUUUUUUUUUCUCGAAAAAAAAGUUUCACUUUUAAAGGGAUAGGUAGGGUAAGCCCAAGACUGGACUGUGCCCAUUUGUUUGAGCACCAGUGUUAUGCGUGCAAAUUUGGACCAAAUAGGGACCUAGAAGUCCACUGUUUAUAACUGAACGGGAACAUGCUAACGAUAACAGUAGCAACUUUUUUUUGUAAACACGAAUAUUUUUUGUCAAAAACGAUUCGAAAUCUAUUCUCUAUUGUAUAAAACUAAUAAAGAAAGUAACAAGAAAAGCAUUGAUGUAAAGCAUCAAAGGGCGUCCAAGCAAGGAAUGCAGCAGGUGAAGAUGAGCUAGUAGAUAUAUGAUGACAAGAUAUUCUUAUGAACUUUUCAAUGGUUAAUUGGUUUUUACCAGAAUUGUAUAUCACUUAUGAAUGAACGGACGAAAGACAUUGUUCAUUAUUAACUUUGAUUGGCAUGCUAGAGAUUAGAAUAUUACUUGUUAUUUCUUUAUGAUCGUGGUUAAUAAUAGCAACGGAUAACGGGAUAUACAUGCAUUUCAAAAAAGAGAAUUACAAAAUAUUUAGAAUAAAAUAAACUGAAAAUAUAUAACAUUUAAGAGGUUAAUUUAUUGUUCUAUUCUGUUCAGUAUUGUUGUUUUGUACCAUUCGUCUGUAAAUUGUUAAAUAUUGUACAAUGUUUGUAACACGUUUAUCCCUUUUCAUAUGUAAUUGAAAGUAUAUUGGCUAUAUGUAUGCUCAUGCUUUUUUAUGCCAAAUAAAGAUUAUGUUAUGUUAUACAAUCAUUUAUAAUCCAUUUGUGUAACGCAUGAUCAACACCACACUUGUGUAAUUGUCCCUUAUUAUGUUAUCGCUAUUAGCAUAGACCCCCUCUUACGGUAUCUAUUCACACUUAGUAACAACACUAUGACACUGGUUAUAUUACCAUGUUGAUCAUGCUGAGCAUAAUAUCUAUUUUAAUAAAAAAAAUACAGAUUUUAUGAAUAUUGCUUUCUUUUCUUUUUUGUGUUUUAUGUGUUAUUUUAAUACUGAGUUUUUACGUUUACUACUAUGUUAAUAAUUCAAUUGUCAUAUUGACCGACGAUUAUACGUCAAAACUUAACUGGAAAAAGUCAGUAAAUUAUGGUUAAUCUUUCAAUAUAUAAUAUUGUUUAUUCUUAAACCAUAUACAUGUACAUUUGUAUUUUUCUUUAUCAUUUUUUAACUAUCAAUCAAUUGAAUAAUUCAUAAAAUCUAAUUUUUAACUUUGGAUCAUUCCUCGGCAUCUUUACUAAACACGAAUAACAAAUUAAAUAAAAUGUUCCAAAGUUGAUAGUGUCAUAUUGAUACCAUAACAAUGUACCUUUUUUCUCAAUUAUUGUACAUACUUAUUGUUUUUAUCUCAUAUAGAUAAAAUAAAACUAUUGUUGAUGUUUUUUUUUGUCGAAUUGUAUGCCGUAUGUAUAAUAAUAAUAAUCAAUAAAUUUGAGAGUUGAUCUGUGUUUAUUAAUUAUUGUAACCAAAUUAAGUGACAAACAUUCAUUUUGAAAAAAAAGCUUAUUUAUCUGUAAAAUAUUUGUUCUGUUCUGUAACGAUUCCAAAACCGGGAGAGACUGGACAAUAAACGUGUGGCACUAUUCGCCGGUCACAAGUAAAUCCCGGUCAAAAUAGACCGGGAAUUACCGAUAGGAGUACAUCCCUCUAUAAAUAGAUUUCGGAAUAUUUAGGUCAUCAACUCAUCAUUUUAUUUACAGCUUUCGGAUACAUGUAAAAUAAUAACAUACCAUAAUAACCCACUGUGUACUACAAAAUGAUAAAUAAAAAUUCCCCGAAGAGCGCGAUUAAUUGACGGAAAAGGUUAUUUCAUUUGAAAAUAUUUGCAUUGCGAAAUUCUCCAGUUCGCUAUUCAUUGUACAUAUCGCGACAUUUCAUUUUUAAUUAAUAAUCAAGCACCCUCAUAUCGAUCGGAAUGAUCGGCUUUUAUUAUGACCGACUAAAAGGCUCGAGAAGUUGCUGUCGCCCUAUCACAAAAAUCUAAUUUCAUUCCAUAAAGGGCGCCACGCCAAUCAAUCGUAAAAAUACUAAGAUUGGCUAUCACGUGGAGAUCAAUCUAUCAUACUGAAGGGAAACAAGUGUGCACAUUUCAUUUCCACUUUUUUCGCAGACAGAGUCAUUCGUUUUUGCAGUUUAUAGCAGCUUUAGAGACAAGUAAAUGCACUAAAAGACUACCAAUUAAUAAGCGUUACACCUAAAACAUCUAUGAUUACAGAUAUACCGACAACACAGGAGAUCAGCACGUGGUAAGGUAAAUGAUAUGCAUGGGCUAUUUUUAGAUUACCUCUCCAAGAUGUUUAAACUCUGUCAGUAGAUCUAAAUAUAACUUGAUCAUGCACUAAUAUUCUGCAUAAUUCGGUCAAGCAGGACCGCCCUUUUGAGGCGGAAUACUACUACAGUAACCAUACUCUAUUGUAUAAAACUUAUAAAGUCAAAAACCAAUUAUAAAAGAAUCUAACUUUUGCGUAAAACAAAAUAAAGUAAAAAUAGAAAUCCUAUUUAUAUAAACAAACUGGUAUUACCGAAGUAACUAAAAUAGCUUAGAUUUCCGUAAUAUUACUUCGUCUGAUUCCGCAGUAUGACGGAAUCGCCAGAAUUGUCACGAUUGCAAUCGGAACUACCUCGGCCAUUAACAUUAAUCCGAAGAGUGACGGAAAGGGCCGAAAAGUUGCGAUUGGCAUGAUUGCAGCUGGUUUCCCGUUCAAUCAUGCACUAACAAAUGUAAGCAGGAAACCACCUAACCGGAACAACCUUUUCAAGCCAAAAACAUUCAAAGUUAUGAAUUGCACUGCAUUCCGAUUCAAACCAAAAAAAAAAACAUUCAAAGAUGUGAAUUGCUCUUUUUCUUUUUUUUCAGGACGCUGUACGUGCCAUGGAGGCGGAGGCGACGGAGACACGUUAAGAAAUGAAUGAAUUGCAUUGUUUACACUAGUUAGUCAAAUAUAUAUUUACAAUUGUUGAACUAUAAA